ACAUGAUGCCCAGCACCCGGAGGAGCAGGGCCCCAUCGCUGAGGCGCAGGAAUCUCUUCUCCAACCAAAGGGGCGGCUCUUCCUCCUCUUCCUCUUCUUCCCCCUCCGAGUCCUCCGCCUCCCCGACCAGCCCGGCCAGUCCCAGCGCCUGUGAGGAGCCCAGAGGGGUCAGCCGACCAGCAGAGUGAACCCUGAGCCCCUCCGACCUGCCCCACAUCUCUGCAGGGCUAGCCCAGAGGUUGGCGGCGGAAGGCCCACAGCUCCCCUGGCUCCAUGGGCAAUGACCGAACAGCCCUUCACCUCUCUGGGCCUUGUUUUCUCAAACUGAAACUGGAGAGGAUGACCCCAGCCUGGGACCUUCGAGGGCCUCAAAAGGGCUCUGGGCCUUGCGUGGCUGGACGAUGAAUGUGAUGGCUGGAACUCAAGCAGCCACAGUGGAUCAUAAGGGACGGUGUCUUGCUAUGUUGUCCAAGCUGGUCUCAAACUGGCCUGAAUCAAUGCUUCCACCUCAGCUGCCAGAGGAACCGGGAUUACAGGCCUGAGCCACUGCAGCCAGCCAGUUUGUUAUUUUAAUGUAAAUUCUUAGUAAACAACUCAGGAGCUCUCUUGUCCUUUUAAAAUCCAUUUCAACUUCUGCUAAUCGGAGUGUAUAUUCAGGGCAACUUGAAUCUGUGCUCCUGGGAUGCAAUCCUCAAGCUUGGCCCA
rnacentral:lncRNA from 1 species